GUGGUUUAGAGAGACAGACAGGUGAGGGAGACAGACAGGUGAGAGAGACAGACAGGUUUACACUGCUGUGUGGUUUAGAGAGACAGACGGGUGAGGGAGACAGACGGGUGAGGGAGACAGACGGGUGAGGGGGAGCGAGUGUUUAUGACGUCAGUGAACUCGCUCAGUGUGAGUGCUGAUUGAUGUCCUGGUUUACGAGCGGUGAGACGGUGAGGUUGUGCUGUGAGUUAAACACUCCGUGAGUGACACUACAGACAGAUCAGUCCUCUGUAAACACACAGUGUUUUAUUCCUCCUCAGUGUUGAAGGUCUGAAGCGGAGUGUUGAAUAAACACACACUCUACUGUACUGUAGCUCAUGUGCUUUGUGUAUAACGAGGUCACACUAACCCUGACUGCGGUUCACAGGAGGGAACAUGAGGGGAACGCUGCUGAUGAUGAUGAUGAUGAUGAUGGCGUGUCUGCUCGCUCCGAGUCUCACAGCACCGCUGCACAAACACCGUGUGACACGUUCAGAGAGUGCAGAGGGUGACGGGGCCGACUCAGAAGACAACAGUGAUGAAGUCGGAGAAACAGGAAAUGAAGAAGAAGAGGGAGGAGAAGGAGAAGAAGAAGAAGAGGGAGGAGA